rnacentral:RNase_P_RNA from 1 species
GGAGUGCGUCGAGUGGUUACGCGCAAACAUCGAAAGGUGUUGCGUGAGGAAAGUCCGAGCUCCAUAGAGCAGAAUAACGGCUAACGGCCGUCGGGGGCGACCCUAGGGAAAGUGCGACAGAAAGUAACCGCCUUUUAAGGCAAGGGUGGAAAGGCGAGGUAAGAGCUCACCAGUAUUUGGGAGAUCAAAUAGCUACGUAAACCCUAUUCGGAGCAACACCGUGGUGAACACAAAAGUCUGCUCGACUUGUUCAUGGAGGUGGCAGUGAGCUCAAGUGGCAACACUUAGCCCAGAUAGAUGAUCACUUUUAACAGAAUUCGGCUUACAAGCGCACUCUUUUA